rnacentral:rRNA from 1 species
AUGCAGCGUUCUUCUUCUUCUUCUUCCAUGGCACUCGCAUGCGCUAUGGCAGUGCUGGUUCUCAUCUCCUCUUCCUUGGCGGCUCAAGCUGCGAGCGCACAGCCUGGAUAUCGUCCGCCACAAAGGCCUCCGCCGCCGUAUGCCCCGCAGGGCCCAGGUUAUUCUAGGAAGUGCCCAGACUGCAACUCCGGCGCCACCCCGCGGGCGCCCUCGGCACUGGCUCCCCACCGCAAGGCCAUGCAGGCCGCCCCGGACGUCGACAGUAAGACGCUUGCGCGUCACGCAACACCGACAUAUAUAUGA